rnacentral:rRNA from 1 species
CAGCAGCCGCGGGAAUACGAAGGGGGCUAGCGUUGCUCGGAAUUACUGGGCGUAAAGGGAGCGUAGGCGGACUGUUUAGUCAGAGGUGAAAGCCCAGGGCUCAACCUUGGAAUUGCCUUUGAUACUGGCAGUCUUGAGUACGGAAGAGGUAUGUGGAACUCCGAGUGUAGAGGUGAAAUUCGUAGAUAUUCGGAAGAACACCAGUGGCGAAGGCGACAUACUGGUCCGUUACUGGCGCUGAGGCUCGAAAGCGUGGGGAGCAAACAGGAUUAGAUACCCGCGUAGUCCCUGUCUCUUAUAA